AUUGGCUGCUCUCAUCUGUGAUCCCCAGGUUCUACGACAUAACCAGGGGUAUCCGGAACCCCAACGUCCUCAUCCCUCCUUCCUUCUGCAACCACAAAGACGAGGAGGCAGGGAGCCCCGAAAUCUGAUCUCCGUCUCCCCCAGGAGCAGGGUGUGGAGCUGACACACACGCUUCUGUAGUCUGGUCUUCUAAAAAUGGAGUGCAGAUCUCUUGGGGUGCUAAUCUCAGGGGCUCACCCCCCCCCCCUUCUCCUUACUCUGGUGUCAGUGGUGCCUCGGUCUCGGUGGGGUUUUAACAUGAAUCCUAAACUCUGUAGUCUUUCUUGUUUCACGGCAAAAUAAGCUGAAAACUCAUAAUUACACCCGGGGGCACAGAGAGAGACAGUGUGAGACCGGGGAGACCAGGAGGACAGCUGGGCCGGCGGUUCAGGUCCAGUCUUGUUGGACCGGGAGGACAGCUGGGCCGGUGGUUCAGGUCCAGUCUUGUUGGACCGGGAGGACAGCUGGUCCAGGGGUUCAGGUCCAGUCUUGUUGGACCGGGAGGACAGCUGGGCCGGUGGUUCAGGUCCAGUCUUGUUAGACCGGGAGGACAGCUGGGCCGGCGGUUCAGGUCCGGUCUUGUUGGACCGGGAGGACAGCUGGGCCGGCGGUUCAGGUCCAGUCUUGUUGGACCGGGAGGACAGCUGGGCCGGCGGUUCAGGUCCGGUCUUGUUAGACACAGAGGUGGCCAGCUGGAGCCCCAGCUCUGUCACUGACUCCCUGUGGUUGAACCCCCAGAGUCAGGCUGCAGGUGUAGCGUAGUGACUCAAACCCUCCCCGCAGUGAGACUCCGGGUGCUGGUGUCUGAUGAACUGAUCAUCAGAGAAACAGACGGUGCUGGAAAUUCACUCUCUCUCACUCUUUCACUCUCUGUACCCUGCAACUCCACAAGCAGCAAAUUAAACACUCGGAAAGUA